rnacentral:rRNA from 1 species
AUGCUGCCGGUUGGCGUCAAGUUCGAUCCCACGGAUCAGGAGCUGAUCGAGCAUCUUGAGGCCAAAGUGAGUGCUGACGGCGCGAGAUCUCACCCUCUCAUCGAUUUGUUCAUACCAACCAUCGACAGCGAGCACGGCAUAUGCUACACCCAUCCUGAGAAAUUUCCAGGCCUAAGCAAGCAUUUCUUCCAGCGCAAUUCCAGGGCGUUCAAAAGGGGCACAUGGACGCGUCGCAAGAUACAGUCGGAGUGUGGCAUGCACGCGAUGUGGCACAACACCGGCAAUACCUUGCCGGUGAUGGUCAACGGCCGGCAGACGGGCAGCAAAAAGGUUCUGGUGCUGCACACCAACAAGAACUUCGACCAGCAGAGGACCAACUGGGUGAUGCACCAGUACCACCUCGGGGACCUGGAGCAAGAGAAGGAGCAGGAGAUGGUCCUCUGCAAGAUUUUCUACCAGACGAACACUAGGGCCAGGAGUAAAAAGAUUAUAACUUAG